rnacentral:rRNA from 1 species
GACGAACGCUGGCGGCGUGCUUAACACAUGCAAGUCGAACGGAAAAGCCCUGCUUUUGUGGGGUGCUCGAGUGGCGAACGGGUGAGUAACACGUGAGUAACCUGCCCUUGACUUUGGGAUAACUUCAGGAAACUGGGGCUAAUACCGGAUAGGAGCUCCUGCUGCAUGGUGGGGGUUGGAAAGUUUCGGCGGUUGGGGAUGGACUCGCGGCUUAUCAGCUUGUUGGUGGGGUAGUGGCUUACCAAGGCUUUGACGGGUAGCCGGCCUGAGAGGGUGACCGGCCACAGUGGGACUGAGAUACGGCCCAGACUCCUACGGGAGGCAGCAGUGGGGAAUAUUGCACAAUGGGCGGAAGCCUGAUGCAGCAACGCCGCGUGCGGGAUGACGGCCUUCGGGUUGUAAACCGCUUUCGCCUGUGACGAAGCGUGAGUGACGGUAAUGGGUAAAGAAGCACCGGCUAACUACGU